rnacentral:rRNA from 1 species
GAGUUUGACUUGGCUCAGAUUGAACGCUGGCGGCAUGCCUUACACAUGCAAGUCGAACGGCAGCACGGGAGCUUGCUCCUGGUGGCGAGUGGCGAACGGGUGAGUAAUGCAUCGGAACGUAUCCUGGAGUGGGGGAUAACGUAGCGAAAGUUACGCUAAUACCGCAUAUUCUGUGAGCAGGAAAGCGGGGGACCUUCGGGCCUCGCGCUCUUGGAGCGGCCGAUGUCGGAUUAGCUAGUUGGUGAGGUAAAGGCUCACCAAGGCGACGAUCCGUAGCAGGUCUGAGAGGAUGAUCUGCCACACUGGAACUGAGACACGGUCCAGACUCCUACGGGAGGCAGCAGUGGGGAAUUUUGGACAAUGGGGGCAACCCUGAUCCAGCCAUGCCGCGUGAGUGAAGAAGGCCUCGGUU